GUCUAUGGCCAUGCCACCCUGAACGUGCCCAAUCCAGUCUGAACUCAAAAGCUAAGCAGGGUUGGGCCUAGUCAGUACUUGGAUGGGAUACCUAGGAAUACCAGGUGCUGUAGGUG
rnacentral:rRNA from 1 species